rnacentral:lncRNA from 1 species
AAGGCCUCGCGAAUUGAUUGCUACCACCAGAUCUCACUUGGUGCAAAUCAUGAACCGUUGGAUAAAAGGAAGGGAGAUACUGCAGUUACCAGGAUAAGGCUCGUGAUAUUUUCACUUUGUAAUUUGCCGCUCGAAGUAGCUUUUUUAUUUUUUAUUUUUUAUUAUAACAUGAUGAAUGUAACUCGUUGAAAAUAGAAACUUUACCGAUGGAGUCGAGCCUUUCUUAACAUUCUGAAUUCUACAAGUGAAAAGUCCUAUAAUUUCAAAACAUAAAAUCAAUUUUUUUAUUUUUUUUUUAUUUUAAGUAAUGAUCAUUUUAGUCCCUAAAUAUGUAAUAAAU